rnacentral:rRNA from 1 species
GACGAACGCUGGCGGCGUGCUUGACACAUGCAAGUCGAACGGAAAGGCCCUGCUUUUGUGGGGUGCUCGAGUGGCGAACGGGUGAGUAACACGCGAGUAACCUGUCCUUGUAUUUGGGAUAACUUCAGGAAAAUGGGGCUAAUACCGGAUAGGAGCUUUUGAUGCAUGGUGGGGGAUGGAAAGUUUCGGUGGUUGGGGAUGGACUCGCGGCUUAUGAGCUUGUUGGUGGGGUAGUGGCUUACCAAGGCUUUGACGGGUAGGCGGCCUGAGAGGGGGACCGGCCACAUUGGGACUGAGAGACGGCCCAGACGCGUACGGGAGGCAGCAGUGGGGAAUAUUGCACAAUAGCCGGAAGCCUGAUGCAGCGACGCCGCGAGCGGGAUGACGGCCUUCGAGUUGUAAACCGCUUUCGCCUGUGACGAAGCGAGAGUGACGGUAAUGGGUAAAGAAGCACCGGCUAACUACGUG